GCUGGGUGCGGUGGCACGCACCUGUAGUUCCAGCUACUCAGGAGGCUGAGACAGGAGAAUUGCUUGAACCCAGGAGGAGGAGGUUGCAGUGAGCCAAGAUGGCACCACUGCACUCCACCCUGGGUGACAGAGCAAGACUUUGUCUCAA
ensembl:misc_RNA Metazoa_SRP Metazoan signal recognition particle RNA